UAUCUCUGUAGAGUCUGCAUAUCAAUAAGCGGAGGAAAAGAAACUAACCUAGGAUUCCCUCAGUAACGGCGAGUGAAGCGGGAAGAGCUCAAAUUUGAAAUCUUCAAGGUUCUACCUUGACGAAUUGUAGUUUAAAGAAGUGUUUUCUGUUGGAGUUUUGGUAAAAGUUCUUUGGAAUAGGACAUCAUAGAGGGUGAGAAUCCCGUAUUUGACCAUUAUUUCCAGCUUUGUGAUACACUUUCAAAGAGUCGGAUUGUUUGGGAAUGCAGUCCAAAAUGGGUGGUAAAUUUCAUCUAAAGCUAAAUAUUGGCGAGAGACCGAUAGCGAACAAGUACCGUGAGGGAAAGAUGAAAAGAACUUUGAAAAGAGAGUUAAACAGUACGUGAAAUUGUCAAAAGGGAAGCGUUUGACACCAGUGUUGUUUUCUCGAAAAUCAAUUAAAAAAGGCAGGAUUUUGUGUUGUAUUGACUUUAUCAGCUUUCUGCACUCUUUUCUUGUCUUUUUUUAAUGCACUUUUCGUUUAACAAGUCAACAUCAAUUUCUUUUGUUGUAAAAGGAGUCAUUGGAAGGUGGCUUUCCUUUCGGAUGAAAGUGUUUAUAGCCUUUGACUUCUGCAAUCGGAGAGAUUGAGGUCUGCAGCGUAGAUCCUUCGGGGUUAGAUACAUUUGUGCUAAGUUAUAGCCUUUCAUAGACAACUUGUUGACUAUGAUCAGUCAUGUAGCUUACUCGCUUAUGCUAUUUUACCUACGCUUAGGAUGUUGAUAGUCACAGCGUGUAC
rnacentral:rRNA from 1 species